rnacentral:rRNA from 1 species
GGGGCCGCACAAGCGGUGGAGCAUGUUGGUUUAAUUCGAUGAUACGACGAAGAACCUUACCGGGGUUUGACAUGCAGGUGAUCGCCGUUGAAAGACGGUUUCCUCUUCGGAGGCACCUGCACAGGUGCUGCAUGGCUGUCGUCAGCUCGUGUCGUGAGAUGUUGGGUUAAGUCCCGCAACGAGCGCAACCCUUGUCUUUAGUUGCCAUCAUUCAGUUGGGCACUCUAAAGAGACUGCCGGUGUCAAACCGGAGGAAGGUGGGGAUGACGUCAAGUCCUCAUGGCCUUUAUGACCAGGGCUACACACGUACUACAAUGGCCGGUACAAAGGGCAGCCACUUAGCGAUAAGGAGCCAAUCCCGUAAAGCCGGUCUCAGUCCGGAUUGGAGUCUGCAACUCGACUCCAUGAAGUUGGAAUCGCUAGUAAUCGCAGAUCAGCACGCUGCGGUGAAUACGUUCCCGGGCCUU